GUUGCAUCCUCCUCACGAGCCUCCCGCGACGGGAUUAGCCACAUUUUACCAACGAAGGCCUCCACCCUCCCGGAAGACAGCAACUGGCCCAAGGUGACACGGCUGGGAAGGAAGAGUGCAGGGAUUUGAAUCCAGGACUUUUUUUCUCUUUUACUCUACUUCGCGUGGCCCCUGGCUGCUAGGGUGCUGGGGAACCUGCCCCAGUGCGACCUGUGCGGUGGCUCCGUCCUGGUUGUGCCUCCAGGGGACCGGCUGCCGUGAUGCAGACGCCUCGGAAACGAAGACAUCUCCAACCGGUCAGUUGGGGUUGGGGCCGGACUGGCUCCUGUUCCUAUAGGAAGGUCCAGCACUCACUUCAGCUGAAGGGGGAAGGAAUCCACCGGGGAAAUGCCAUUCUCCGGUCCUCGAACCUGAGAAACUGGUUAUGA
rnacentral:lncRNA from 1 species